rnacentral:rRNA from 1 species
GACACGUGUCAUUUAUUUGAAAGGGGCAAUUGUUCCACUACAAGAUGGACCUGCGUUGUAUUAGCUAGUAGGUGAGGUAAUGGCUCACCUAGGCGACGAUACAUAGCCGACCUGAGGGGGUGAUCGGCCACACUGGGACUGAGACACGGCCCAGACUCCUACGGGAGGCAGCAGUAGGGAAUCUUCGGCAAUGGGGGCAACCCUGACCGAGCAACGCCGCGUGAGUGAAGAAGGUUUUCGGAUCGUAAAGCUCUGUUGUAAGUCAAGAACGGGUGUGAGAGUGGAAAGUUCACACUGUGACGGUAGCUUACCAGAAAGGGACGGCUAACUACGUGCCAGCAGCCGCGGUAAUACGUAGGUCCCGAGCGUUGUCCGGAUUUAUUGGGCGUAAAGCGAGCGCAGGCGGUUUGAUAAGUCUGAAGUUAAAGGCUGUGGCUCAACCAUAGUUCGCUUUGGAAACUGUCAAACUUGAGUGCAGAAGGGGAGAGUGGAAUUCCAUGUGUAGCGGUGAAAUGCGUAGAUAUAUGGAGGAACACCGGUGGCGAAAGCGGCUCUCUGGUCUGUAACUGACGCUGAGGCUCGAAAGCGUGGGGAGCGAACAGGAUUAGAUACCCUGGUAGUCCACGCCGUAAACGAUGAGUGCUAGGUGUUGGAUCCUUUCCGGGAUUCAGUGCCGCAGCUAACGCAUUAAGCACUCCGCCUGGGGAGUACGACCGCAAGGUUGAAACUCAAAGGAAUUGACGGGGGCCCGCACAAGCGGUGGAGCAUGUGGUUUAAUUCGAAGCAACGCGAAGAACCUUACCAGGUCUUGACAUCCCGAUGCUAUUUCUAGAGAUAGAAAGUUACUUCGGUACAUCAGUGACAGGUGGUGCAUGGUUGUCGUCAGCUCGUGUCGUGAGAUGUUGGGUUAAGUCCCGCAACGAGCGCAACCCCUAUUGUUAGUUGCUAUCAUUUAGUUGGGCACUCUAGCGAGACUGCCGGUAAUAAACCGGAGGAAGGUGGGGAUGACGUCAAAUCAUCAUGCCCCUUAUGACCUGGGCUACACACGUGCUACAAUGGUUGGUACAACGAGUUGCGAGUCGGUGACGGCGAGCUAAUCUCUUAAAGCCAAUCUCAGUUCGGAUUGUAGGCUGCAACUCGCCUACAUGAAGUCGGAAUCGCUAGUAAUCGCGGAUCAGCACGCCGCGGUGAAUACGUUCCCGGGCCUUGUACACACCGCCCGUCACACCACGAGAGUUUGUAACACCCGAAGUCGGUGAGGUAACCUUUUGGAGCCAGCCGCCUAAGGUGGGGCAGAUGAUUGGGGUGAAGUCGAAACAAGGUA